GAAAGGGACGGCUAANUACGUGCCAGCAGCCGCGGUAAUACGUAGNUCCCGAGCGUUGUCCGGAUUUAUUGGGCGUAAAGCGGGCGCAGGCGGUUAGAUAANUCUGAAGUUAAAGGCUGUGGCUUAACCAUAGUACGCUUUGGAAACUGUUUAACUUGAGUGCAGAAGGGGAGAGUGGAAUUCCAUGUGUAGCGGUGAAAUGCGUAGAUAUAUGGAGGAACACCGGUGGCGAAAGCGGCUCUCUGGUCUGUAACUGACGCUGAGGCUCGAAAGCGUGGGGAGCGAACAGGAUUAGAUACCCUGGUAGUCCACGCCGUAAACGAUGAGUGCUAGGUGUUAGGCCCUUUCCGGGGCUUAGUGCCGCAGCUAACGCAUUAAGCACUCCGCCUGGGGAGUACGACCGCAAGGUUGAAACUCAAAGGAAUUGACGGGGGCCCGCACAAGCGGUGGAGCAUGUGGUUUAAUUCGAAGCAACGCGAAGAACCUUACCAGGUCUUGACAUCCCGAUGCCCGCUCUAGAGAUAGAGUUUUACUUCGGUACAUCGGUGACAGGUGGUGCAUGGUUGUCGUCAGCUCGUGUCGUGAGAUGUUGGGUUAAGUCCCGCAACGAGCGCAACCCUUAUUGUUAGUUGCCAUCAUUCAGUUGGGCACUCUAGCGAGACUGCCGGUAAUAAACCGGAGGAAGGUGGGGAUGACGUCAAAUCAUCAUGCCCCUUAUGACCUGGGCUACACACGUGCUACAAUGGCUGGUACAACGAGUCGCAAGUCGGUGACGGCAAGCUAAUCUCUUAAAGCCAGUCUCAGUUCGGAUUGUAGGCUGCAACUCGCCUACAUGAAGUCGGAAUCGCUAGUAAUCGCGGAUCAGCACGCCGCGGUGAAUACGUUCCCGGGCCUUGUACACACCGCCCGUCACACCACGAGAGUUUGUAACACCCGAAGUCGGUGAGGUANCCUUUUAGGAGCCAGCCGC
rnacentral:rRNA from 1 species